rnacentral:rRNA from 1 species
GACGAACGCUGGCGGCAUGCCUAACACAUGCAAGUCUAGGGGUAGCAAUACCACUGGCGCACGGGUGAGUAACACGUAGGUUAUCUGCCCCCAUCACAGACAUAACCCCGGGAAACCGGGGCUAAUAUCUGAUGAGGUCGCGAGAUCAAAGCUUCGGCGGAUGGGGAUGAGCCUGCGGCUGAUUAGCUAGUUGGUGAGGUAAUGGCUCACCAAGGCGACGAUCAGUAGCUGGUCUGAGAGGAUGAUCAGCCACACUGGGACUGAGACACGGCCCAGACUCCUACGGGAGGCAGCAGUGGGGAAUAUUGGACAAUGGGCGCAAGCCUGAUCCAGCAAUGCCGCGUGUGUGAAGAAGGCCUGCGGGUUGUAAAAGCACUUUCAGUGGGGAAGAACGGAUACGGGCCAAUACCCCGCAUCACUGACGUUACCCACAGAAGAAGCACCGGCUAACUCCGUGCCAGCAGCCGCGGU